AGCGAACGCUGGCGGCAGGCCUAACACAUGCAAGUCGAGCGCCGUAGCAAUACGGAGCGGCAGACGGGAGAGUAACACGUGGGAACGUACCCUUUGGUUCGGAACAACCCAGGGAAACUUGGGCUAAUACCGGAUAAGCCCUUACGGGGAAAGAUCCAUCGCCGAAGGAUCGGCCCGCGUCUGAUUAGCUAGUUGGUGGGGUAAUGGCCCACCAAGGCGACGAUCAGUAGCUGGUCUGAGAGGAUGAUCAGCCUCACUGGGACUGAGACACGGCCCAGACUCCUACGGGAGGCAGCAGUGGGGAAUAUUGGACAAUGGGCGCAAGCCUGAUCCAGCCAUGCCGUGUGGGUGAUGAAGGCCCUAGGGUUGUAAAGCCCUUUCGGCGGGGAAGAUAAUGACGGUACCCGCAGAAGAAGCCCCGGCUAACUUCGUGCCAGCCGCCGCCGUAACAC
rnacentral:rRNA from 1 species